GUACCCUGGUAGUCCACGCUGUAAACGAUGUCGACUUGGAGGUUGUUCCCUUGAGGAGUGGCUUCCGGAGCUAACGCGUUAAGUCGACCGCCUGGGGAGUACGGCCGCAAGGUUAAAACUCAAAUGAAUUGACGGGGGCCCGCACAAGCGGUGGAGCAUGUGGUUUAAUUCGAUGCAACGCGAAGAACCUUACCUACUCUUGACAUCCAGAGAACUUAGCAGAGAUGCUUUGGUGCCUUCGGGAACUCUGAGACAGGUGCUGCAUGGCUGUCGUCAGCUCGUGUUGUGAAAUGUUGGGUUAAGUCCCGCAACGAGCGCAACCCUUAUCCUUUGUUGCCAGCGGUUCGGCCGGGAACUCAAAGGAGACUGCCAGUGAUAAACUGGAGGAAGGUGGGGAUGACGUCAAGUCAUCAUGGCCCUUACGAGUAGGGCUACACACGUGCUACAAUGGCAUAUACAAAGAGAAGCGACCUCGCGAGAGCAAGCGGACCUCAUAAAGUAUGUCGUAGUCCGGAUUGGAGUCUGCAACUCGACUCCAUGAAGUCGGAAUCGCUAGUAAUCGUAGAUCAGAAUGCUACGGUGAAUACGUUCCCGGGCCUUGUACACACCGCCCGUCACACCAUGGGAGUGGGUUGCAAAAGAAGUAGGUAGCUUAACCUU
rnacentral:rRNA from 1 species